GAUCAGAGUAGAAGCUGUCAGUAACCGCCGGGCACCCGCCCCAAGUUAUCGGUCAUUGCUCUGGUG
rnacentral:ncRNA from 1 species